rfam:Salmo salar isolate Sally breed double haploid chromosome ssa18, whole genome shotgun sequence.
UGGCUCAGUUGGUAGAGCAUGGUGUUUGCAACGCCAGGGUUGUGGGUUUGAUCCCCAC